rnacentral:lncRNA from 1 species
CUUCCUCCGCGGGGUCCAUCGGGGCUUUCCCCCGAUCGGCUGCCCCGACCGACGGAACCGGUAGCGAGGGGACGCUCGAGUUCAACCCGGCGCCCCCCGUUGCGCCAACGGACGCCGCCGGACGAUGUUCGGUUUCCCGAACGUCAUCCGGCUCCACCCGCACCGGCGAAGCCGCCGAUGUUCCCUCGGCCGCCUCCUCAGCCGGCCUCUCCUCCGUGCGAGCCGUCGGAGCCGCGAGGGCUAUUACAGGCUCCGACUGGUCGG